GACGAACGCUGGCGGCGUGCUUAACACAUGCAAGUCGAACGGAAAGGCCUCUUUCGGGGGGUACUCGAGUGGCGAACGGGUGAGUAACACGUGAGUAACCUACCCUUGACUUUGGGAUAACUUCAGGAAACUGGGGCUAAUACCGGAUAGGAGCUCCUGCUGCAUGGUGGGGGUUGGAAAGUUUCGGCGGUUGGGGAUGGACUCGCGGCUUAUCAGCUUGUUGGUGGGGUAGUGGCUUACCAAGGCUUUGACGGGUAGCCGGCCUGAGAGGGUGACCGGCCACAUUGGGACUGAGAUACGGCCCAGACUCCUACGGGAGGCAGCAGUGGGGAAUAUUGCACAAGGGGUGGAAGCCUGAUGCAGCAACGCCGUGUGCGGGAGGACGGCCUUCGGGUUGUAAACCGCUUUCGCUCAUGACGAAGCUUUGUGUGACGGUAGUGGGUAAAGAAGCACCGGCUAACUACGUG
rnacentral:rRNA from 1 species